rnacentral:rRNA from 1 species
UACACUCCUGCGGGAGGCAGCAGUGGGGAAUAUUGCACAAUGGGCGCAAGCCUGAUGCAGCCAUGCCGCGUGUAUGAAGAAGGCCUUCGGGUUGUAAAGUACUUUCAGCGGGGAGGAAGGCGAUAAGGUUAAUAACCUUGUCGAUUGACGUUACCCGCAGAAGAAGCACCGGCUAACUCCGUGCCAGCAGCCGCGGUAAUACGGAGGGUGCAAGCGUUAAUCGGAAUUACUGGGCGUAAAGCGCACGCAGGCGGUCUGUCAAGUCGGAUGUGAAAUCCCCGGGCUCAACCUGGGAACUGCAUUCGAAACUGGCAGGCUAGAGUCUUGUAGAGGGGGGUAGAAUUCCAGGUGUAGCGGUGAAAUGCGUAGAGAUCUGGAGGAAUACCGGUGGCGAAGGCGGCCCCCUGGACAAAGACUGACGCUCAGGUGCGAAAGCGUGGGGAGCAAACAGGAUUAGAUACCCUAGUAGUCCC